rnacentral:rRNA from 1 species
GAUGAACGCUGGCGGCGUGCCUAAUACAUGCAAGUCGAGCGAACAGACGAGGAGCUUGCUCCUCUGACGUUAGCGGCGGACGGGUGAGUAACACGUGGAUAACCUACCUAUAAGACUGGGAUAACUUCGGGAAACCGGAGCUAAUACCGGAUAAUAUAUUGAACCGCAUGGUUCAAUAGUGAAAGACGGAUUUGCUGGCACUUAUAGAUGGAUCCGCGCCGCAUUAGCUAGUUGGUAAGGUAACGGCUUACCAAGGCAACGAUGCGUAGCCGACCUGAGAGGGUGAUCGGCCACACUGGAACUGAGACACGGUCCAGACUCCUACGGGAGGCAGCAGUAGGGAAUCUUCCGCAAUGGGCGAAAGCCUGACGGAGCAACGCCGCGUGAGUGAUGAAGGUCUUCGGAGCGUAAAACUCUGUUAUUAGGGAAGAACAAAUGUGUAAGUAACUAUGCACGUCUUGACGGUACCUAAUCAGAAAGCCACGGCUAACUACGUG